GAAUAUUUUAUUCACUGCACCUUCCUCUCGCGUUUAGUUCUGCUAGGCGGUAAACCAAACGGACGUCACAGAUGGCAAAGUAACCCCAACUCUGCAUGAAGCAGUUAUUUUUAUGGAUUCAGAUCUGUGUGGAAGAAGUACAGUACUGGAUAAUUGGGGAUGAAGGCCGAAAGGGAUCAACUUUGCUGUGUUUACAGUACAUCAUUUUCAGUGUAACUUAUUUUAAUGUCAA